rnacentral:rRNA from 1 species
AAAGCUCGUAGUUGGAGUUCAGGGUGAGCUCAGCUGGUCGGCCUAAUGGGUCAGAACUGGUUGACUCUCCCUUGGUUGUGGAUCCCUCCGGAGUCAAUUCUUCGGGUGUGGAGUCCACAUCGUUUACCUUGAAAAAAUUAGAGUGUUCAAAGCAGGCGUUUGCUUGAAUAUAUUAGCAUGGAAUAAUGGAAUAGGACGCUGGUUCUAUUUUGUUGGUUUUGAGAACCAGAGUAAUGAUUAAUAGGGACAGUUGGGGGCAUUCAUAUUUCAUUGUCAGAGGUGAAAUUCUUGGAUUUAUGAAAGAUGAACUUCUGCGAAAGCAUUUGCCAAGGAUGUUUUCAUUAAUCAAGAACGAAAGUUAGGGGAUCGAAGACGAUCAGAUACCGUCGUAGUCUUAACCAUAAACUAUGCCGACUAGGGAUUGGGCGUGGUUUGUUCAUUGACCCGCUCAGCACCUUACGAGAAAUCAAAGUCUUUGGGUUCCGGGGGGAGUAUGGUCGCAAGGCUGAAACUUAAAGGAAUUGACGGAGGGGCACCACCAGGAGUGGAGCCUGCGGCUUAAUUUGACUCAACACGGGAAAACUUACCAGGUCCAGACAUAGUAAGGA